UGCAAUGCUACCUAUACCUGGGGGUGUGUUAGAGAUGCAGGUGCCUGGGCUCCACCCCCAGAGAUUCUGAAAUGGCAGGUGUAGGGGUGUGUCUCAGGGGUCUGUUGCUAACAAGAUACCCACUGUUGAUGCCAGUGCCGGUGUUCCAUGGAACAUUCUGAGAAAGGCUGCUGUGAGAGGGAAGCAUGCCCCAGGGGUACCGGGGAGGAUGUGCAGGGCCUGAGUCUGUUGGGAUUCAAGGAAGUCUUGCAGAAGGCGUAGCAGCUGAGCCGAGCCUUGAGGGAUGUAGAGGAGGUGGUCAGGCCGACAAGACUAUGUUUUAGGGUCAUCCCACAACUCUGUGUGCUUCUUGGGUGUGAGCUUCCAAGUAUCCUCUCUAGAGCUUUGAGCAUCCCAUGACCCAAGAGAGGCAGUGAUGGAGCUUUGGAGUCAGGUGACAGUCUCCUUUUAGAUACAUUCAAUCAGUCGUGGAUCCACCUUGGAGCACUAGCACCAACUCACAGAAGGGCAUCUCGAAACCACCUGUUACAUGGCUGCCUGCUUCAUUCCAGACACAAGAUGCAGAACCCAAAUUUAUCCAGGUUACCAGGUUGGAGUUAAACCUGAGACCACGUUAAUAAACCUCCAUCUGUUUUACUCGCUCUGGCCCUGCCUAGAUGGGCCUCUGAACAGUCCUCCCAGUCUUGUUGGGGAGUCCCUUGUGUGCUUAGGAGUGUCUCCUUCCCCACAUAAUGGAGUUGGCCAAGUUCUUUCUCUCCAGCUCCUCCUUUCCUGCUGACACUCGCAGUCCAUGCACCAUGGAGAAGGACCUCACUACUCUGCCUGCUGCUGGGAUGGCCCACAAGAAUGCAAUUCCCAUGUUCAAUGUGCAUUAGCCCAGACAUUGGUACCAGUCCUUGGUAUCCCGUUGAUUAAACUGCAUUUAAUCUGGUGCAGAA